AUUGAACGCUGGCGGCAUGCCUUACACAUGCAAGUCGAACGGUAACAGGUCUUCGGAUGCUGACGAGUGGCGAACGGGUGAGUAAUACAUCGGAACGUGCCUAGUAGUGGGGGAUAACUACUCGAAAGAGUGGCUAAUACCGCAUGAGAUCUACGGAUGAAAGCAGGGGAUCGCAAGACCUUGUGCUACUAGAGCGGCCGAUGGCAGUUUAGGUAGUUGGUGGGAUAAAAGCUUACCAAGCCGACGAUCUGUAGCUGGUCUGAGAGGACGAUCAGCCACACUGGGACUGAGACACGGCCCAGACUCCUACGGGAGGCAGCAGUGGGGAAUUUUGGACAAUGGGCGCAAGCCUGAUCCAGCAAUGCCGCGUGCAGGAUGAAGGCCUUCGGGUUGUAAACUGCUUUUGUACGGAACGAAAAGCCCCGGGUUAAUACCCUGGGGUCAUGACGGUACCGUAAGAAUAAGCACCGGCUAACUACGUGCCAGCCGCCGCCGUAA
rnacentral:rRNA from 1 species